AGUACCUUCUUAGGCGUAUAAUGAAUACAGUGGCAAUGCGCUUACACAGUGGCAAUUCAAUUUCUUUUCCACAAAAAUAUGAAGUAAUGACAGAAUGAAAUCUUUGUAUUUCCUAAAAUGCACAAAAAAUUAGUCUUUUAAGAAAUUUGUUUAUCGCUGUCUUUGGCUGAUACUUUUUUAUUGAAAUUGUUUUAUAUAACUAUCAAACUAUCACACUACAUAGUAAAAUAAAGCAACAACGUCAUAGUUAUUAUUGACAAAAAUCUAAGACAAAAGAUGUCAGACUAUACGAUUUCAUCAUAAGCACAAAAUUAAAUGUAGCCAUUUUCAUUUUUAAGUUGGCAA
rnacentral:sRNA from 1 species